CUCCACAUUUGCUAUCACAUAUAAACACACACACACACACACACACACACACACACACACACACACACACACACAUUUAAUAUAAAAAUCAGGAAACCAGGCCAGUGACAUGGCUCAGCAGGUAAAGAACUGCACAAGCCGGAUACUCUGAAUUUGAUCCCUGGAACCUAGGGUUGUGGGAGAGUUGACUCCCACGUAAUCCUCUGACCUCCCACACUUACACCAUGGCACAUGUGACCCCCUCCUGGUAUAUGCUUACAAUUAAUGAUAACAAUCAAUUUCUCUUAAGUCAGGAAAUCCCUGACCUGGGUGAGGCUGAGCACCACACACUCUGGUCAUUAUGGUUCCGUAUUGAAGAUGUUCUGCUGCUAAGAUAAACAGUUUCUAGAGCUGAGGGGAUAGACAGCUCAGUGAUAGAGUGCUAGUCUAACAUGCUCUGGACCCUGGGUUUUAUCCCAGCACUGAAAACAAGUGAGCACAGAGAGGGGACAGAUUCUCUUGUCUGCAUGUAAGCUUACAAUCCUGAGGCUGAAUCCAUGCCUGCCAUGAUGAUCUAAGAUCAUCUAGGACUGUGCAUUCUGAGGACCAGUUCCCAUGUUACACAAUGCCUGAGUCACAGCUAAUAAAGUCCUGUUCCCUUGUGCAGAGUAAGAACACACUAUCUUUUAAGGGGUGGCAGGAGUCACAGUCUCAUGCAGCCUGAUGUCAGCAGCUUGGAGCACUUUUACCUUGCUGAGGACCUGAGUCUGACUCCAAACAUCCGCAUGGUUUUCGUUUUUGUUUGUUUUUUUCCGAGACAGGGUUUCUCUGUAGCUCUGGCUGUCCUGGAACUCACUCUGUAGACCAGGCUGGCCUUGAACUCAGAAAUCCACCUGCCUCUGCCUCUCAAGUGCUGGGAUUAAAGGCGUGUGCCACCACUCCCAGCACACAAAGGCAAAUAAAUCCAUCUUUAGUAUUAAAGAUCUAAAUGCUAAACAUGUCCCUUUAUAUGUAUAGCUAAAACACUUCUAUCAUAUUUCUAAUUAUAAAAAACUUCAUUUGUUAUAGAAAAUCUAGGAACUACAAACAGACACAGACCCACUCCACACACUCUCCUCAGUCUGAAGAGGGCACCGGAACUCCUUGCAUGUUCAGACAGUGAGCUCAGUGCUUUCUCUGCCCCUGCAGGCUCUGUCUGGCUCCACCCACAGCACCUAAGCACCAGGGCAAGCUUUCUGCUCAGCCUGCUCUGAGACAGCAGUGGCUGAGAUGUAAAUCCCUGGUCUGUAGACUUGAACUUUACAAUAGAUAUUUUGUAAGUGUACAGAUUAUUGUCUCAAAAGUCCUUGAUUUCAUUACAACACUCAGGUAAGUGAAGGAAAGAGGGUAAAUGAGCCAAAGACAGGCAGAUCUCCAGGAGUUCAAGGCCUGCCUAGUCUACAGAGUGAGUUUCAGGCCAGCCAGGGCUAUGGAGAAAGACCGUGAGUUACUUUCAGAUGAAAACAGUAUUAUUUGGAGCCAAAACUCACUCACUGAGAAAUGCAAUUUUAUCUAUGUCCCAUGAUGAAUGACUAAAUUUUAAACUGCCAUCACAAGCCAUUUUAAAAACCAUUUUAAUUAUUUGUAUGGACUUUUUUUCUGUAUGUCUGUGCACCACGUGUCUGUUGCCUACAAAGGCCAGAAAAGGUCAUCAGAGCCUUUAGCCUGGAGUUAUAGAUGGUUGUGAGCUACCAAGUAGGUGAUAGGAUUUGAACCUAGGUCCUCUGGAAAAACAGCUAUUAACUGCUUAGCCAUUAAGCUGCUUUAAACCACUGAGCCAUCUCUCCAGCCUGAACACAAAGUCUCAUUAUAUUUAUUAUUUUAUUAUAUACUAUUCAAAGCCAUUUAUGGGGCUGGUGAGAUGGCUCAGUGGGUAAGAGCACCCGACUGCUCUUCUGAAGGUCCAGAGUUCAAAUCCCAGCAACCACAUGGUGGCUCACAACCAUCCGUAACAAGAUCUGCCUCCCUCUUCUGGUGUGUCUGAAGACAGCUACAAUGUACUUACAUAUAAUAAUAAAUAAAUCUUUAAAAAAAAAAAAAAAAAAAAAAGCCAUUUAUGUACAUCUAUGUAAAAACACACGGCACAUUGACUGGGUAGGAGGAUGAACACGGAUCUUACCCAAGUUGCUCUGUAAUCUGUAUUGCUCCUUUCUACUUUUCCAGGACCAGGUAUGUAUAAAUGCAGAGCACUUGCCUAACACAAGUCCCUGGGUUCAAGUCCCCAGCACCAAAGGCCCCAAACAGCCCAGUAACACAGCAUUUUUGGUUUUUGAAACUGGGUGUACUCAUGGUCCCCUUGCCUCUGCCUCCCAAAUGCCAAGAUUACACACAUGUGCCAUGACAUCCAGCUUUGUGUGUGUACUCCAAUGUGUUUACUAUGUGUAUGUGCAUGUCUGUGUGCACUUGUGUGGGUAGUGAGCAUGGUUAUGGGUAUUUGUGCAUGUGGAAGCCAGAGGAGACCCUCAGCCCUCACUCCUCAUGCACUGUUCACAUUGCCUUUGAGACAGCGGCCCUCACUAGCCCAGCAAGCCCUGGGGAGCUGCCUGUUUUCCUGUCGCUUUAUUACAAGCAGGCAUUCCAUGCUGGCUUUUCUCUUUCGUUUGUUCGUGAGUUUGGGGGACUGGAUUC
rnacentral:lncRNA from 1 species